rnacentral:rRNA from 1 species
CCUACGGGUGGCUGCAGUGGGGAAUAUUGGACAAUGGGCGAAAGCCUGAUCCAGCCAUGCCGCGUGUGUGAAGAAGGCCUUCGGGUUGUAAAGCACUUUCAGUGGGGAAGAAAGCCUUGGGGCUAAUACCCUCGAGGAAGGACAUCACCCACAGAAGAAGCACCGGCUAACUCCGUGCCAGCAGCCGCGGUAAUACGGAGGGUGCGAGCGUUAAUCGGAAUUACUGGGCGUAAAGCGCGCGUAGGCGGUCUGAUAAGCGGGUUGUGAAAGCCCCGGGCUCAACCUGGGAACGGCAUCCGGAACUGUCAGGCUAGAGUGCAGGAGAGGGUGGUAGAAUUCCCGGUGUAGCGGUGAAAUGCGUAGAGAUCGGGAGGAAUACCAGUGGCGAAGGCGGCCUCCUGGACCGACACUGACGCUGAGGUGCGAAAGCGUGGGUAGCAAACAGGAUUAGAUACCCCGGUAGUC